GCCGUCGUAGCGCAAUGGUAGCGCGUCGCUUUCCUAAGGCGAAGGUUGCGAGUUCGAUCCUCGUCGUCGGUA
rnacentral:tRNA from 1 species